CAGAGAACUUGCCCCUAAGGGGUAGAUCUCCCACCCUUUGUUUACAUACCUUAUUGCUUUGGCAGGCCCGUCUUUGGACCGCUGGCUUCGGCUGGCCAGUGCCUGCCAGAGGACCCAAAACUCUUAAUUUUGCUUGUCUGAUCAUUAUAUAAUAGUUA
rnacentral:misc_RNA from 1 species